UACGGGAUGCUUAGGCAUCUAGUGGCGGACGGGUGAGUAACGCGUGAGAAUCUGGCUCCAGGUCGGGGAUAACAGUUGGAAACGACUGCUAAUACCGGAUGUGCCGAGAGGUGAAAGAUUUAUUGCCUGGAGAUGAGCUCGCGUCUGAUUAGCUAGUUGGUGGUGUAAGGGACCACCAAGGCGUCGAUCAGUAGCUGGUCUGAGAGGAUGAUCAGCCACACUGGGACUGAGACACGGCCCAGACUCCUACGGGAGGCAGCAGUGGGGAAUUUUCCGCAAUGGGCGAAAGCCUGACGGAGCAAUACCGCGUGAGGGAGGAAGGCUCUUGGGUCGUAAACCUCUCUUCUCAAGGAAGAAGAAAGUGACGGUGCUUGAGGAAUAAGCAUCGGCUAACUCCGUGCCAGCAGCCGCGGUAAUACGGAGGAUGCAAGCGUUAUCCGGAAUGAUUGGGCGUAAAGGGUCUGCAGGUGGAACUGAAAGUCUGCUGUUAAAGAGUUUGGCUUAACCAAAUAAAAGCGGUGGAAACUACAGAACUAGAGUGCGGUAGGGGCAAAAGGAAUUCCUGGUGUAGCGGUGAAAUGCGUAGAUAUCAGGAAGAACACCGGUGGCGAAAGCGUUUUGCUAGACCGUAACUGACACUGAGGGACGAAAGCUAGGGGAGCGAAUGGGAUUAGAUACCCCAGUAGUCCUAGCCGUAAACGAUGGAUACUAGGCGUGGCUUGUAUCGACCCGAGCCGUGCCGGAGCUAACGCGUUAAGUAUCCCGCCUGGGGAGUACGCACGCAAGUGUGAAACUCAAAGGAAUUGACGGGGGCCCGCACAAGCGGUGGAGUAUGUGGUUUAAUUCGAUGCAACGCGAAGAACCUUACCAAGACUUGACAUCCUGCGAAUCCCGGUGAAAGC
rnacentral:rRNA from 1 species